GGUAGAGCAGUUGGCUUUUAACCAAUUGGCCGUGCGUUCGAGUCGCACACGGCCCACCA
rnacentral:tRNA from 1 species